rnacentral:rRNA from 1 species
GACGAACGCUGGCGGCGUGCUUAACACAUGCAAGUCGAACGGAAAGGCCAGUGCUUGCACUGGUACUCGAGUGGCGAACGGGUGAGUAACACGUGGGUGAUCUGCCUUGCACUCUGGGAUAAGCUUGGGAAACUGGGUCCAAUACCGGAUAUGAACUGCCUUUAGUGUGGUGGUUGGAAAGUUUUUUCGGUGCAAGAUGAGCUCGCGGCCUAUCAGCUUGUUGGUGGGGUAAUGGCCUACCAAGGCGUCGACGGGUAGCCGGCCUGAGAGGGUGUACGGCCACAUUGGGACUGAGAUACGGCCCAGACUCCUACGGGAGGCAGCAGUGGGGAAUAUUGCACAAUGGGCGGAAGCCUGAUGCAGCGACGCCGCGUGGGGGAUGACGGCCUUCGGGUUGUAAACUCCUUUCGACAGGGACGAAGCGUAAGUGACGGUACCUGUAGAAGAAGCACCGGCUAACUACGUG